UGUGGCCCAAAUUGUUUUAGUACAAUGUCCAUCAAUCACAUGACUCUAGCAGGACUGAUCGGUGAUGGCAAUUUACAGAAUGGCUUCAUUGUUGGAGAGGACAAUACUGACGUGUGUAGUAACUAUGUGUGGUUGUUUACACGAACAUAAAAGAAUGAAAGAUAGUAAAUACUUAAGUAGAGUAACGUGUUAAUUGGCUUGAUAUCAUAAUAUGAAGCUGUGUUGCUCUACAACCCUGUGUUUAAUGAUGAUUGAUAUUGCUAUUAUCUAACAAAUUUUAGCCUAAGUGCCAAAAUUGUACUAUACACAAUAACAGGUCAUAGACAUGUGUGGAAGCAAGUUUUCCAAACAUACCGGUAUAGAUUAGUAUUCUCACUGACAUUGAGGAAUAAACUGAAAAUGAUAUUUUUGAACAGUACAAAUAAUUUACAUUACAUCAUUUCAUCCAGUCAUUAGUAAUAAGCUGUAAACACAUUUUGGUGUGUCCCUACUGAGUGGACUGUUUAUUCUAGGCAUACUAUGUAAGGAUGUCUGUGUAGUAAUAAAGUGAAGCAUUUCUUGGGUUCUUCACACUAAUGAGUAAUAAUAAAAACACAUUCCUAAUCCUUAUCACACUAGACGGGAGCCUAGCCAGUUGAGACUACUCAUCAAAUUUACUCUAUUUUCUGUCCUACUACUGACCACAAGACUGAUUUUCUAAUUAUGGCUGCAGUAUUGGGAAGGACUCUGGUACAGAUAAAAAAUGUAGGCAGAUCAGUCAGCGUACCCAAUGAUCCAAUAGCCAGGCUCAUGUACUACUUUGAUUGUGUCUGCACUUGCGUUGAACCCGAUAGUGACUACACUAUACGUCGCCUUAGAGAUUAUCGAAAUUAUCAUCGAUUGACCAGCGAAGAAGAGGCCCAACUCAUAGUCCUCUGUCUUGCUCUCAGUCCUGAUAACUUGAUUGGAUCAGUAUUUCAUCCAGUGAAUGACUGUGGAUCAUCUACAAACAAGUUUGUUGAGAUAAGUGCCGUCAAAACAGACCUUCUUGUGACCAAAUCUCUCCUCAUUGGAGGACAGC